rnacentral:rRNA from 1 species
UACAGAGGGGGCAAGCGUUGUUCGGAAUUACUGGGCGUAAAGGGCGCGUAGGCGGCCUGCUAAGUCGAACGUGAAAUCCCCGGGCUCAACCCGGGAACUGCGUCCGAUACUGGCAGGCUUGAAUCCGGGAGAGGGAUGCGGAAUUCCAGGUGUAGCGGUGAAAUGCGCAGAUAUCAGGAGGAACACCGGUGGCGAAGGCGGGUCUCUGGGCCGAAACUGACGCUGAGGAGCGAAAGCGUGGGGAGCGAACAGG